AGUGAACGCUGGCGGUAGGCCUAACACAUGCAAGUCGAACGGCAGCACAGAGGAGCUUGCUCCUUGGGUGGCGAGUGGCGGACGGGUGAGGAAUACAUCGGAAUCUACUCUGUCGUGGGGGAUAACGUAGGGAAACUUACGCUAAUACCGCAUACGACCUACGGGUGAAAGCAGGGGACCUUCGGGCCUUGCGCGAUUGAAUGAGGCGAUGUCGGAUUAGCCAGUUGACGGGGUAAAGGCCCACCAAGGCGACGAUCCGUAGUUGGUCUGAGAGGAUGAUCAGCCACACUGGAACUGAGACACGGUCCAGACUCCUACGGGAGGCAGCAGUGGGGAAUAUUGGACAAUGGGCGCAAGCCUGAUCCAGCCAUACCGCGUGGGUGAAGAAGGCCUUCGGGUUGUAAAGCCCUUUUGUUGGGAAAGAAAUCCAGCUGGCUAAUACCCGGUUGGGAUGACGGUACCCAAAGAAUAAGCACCGGCUAACUUCGUGCCAGCCGCCGCGGUAA
rnacentral:rRNA from 1 species